rnacentral:lncRNA from 1 species
ACUUGUUUAUGAAUGUAUAUUUUAAAUAAUUUAAUUUAAAAAUAAAAAAAAAUGUUUAACUUCAUACCUAGUAUUUUACAUCCUACCAAAAACAAAAGCAAAGACAGAGAAACACAGACCUCCCGAUCUUAGGUGGAAUUAAAAAGAAAAAGCUAUUCAUUUUAUGUUUCUAACACAGAUUUGGAUGAAUAUGGAAUUAUUAUGGUUUUUGCUUUUUUAAAGCUGUAUUUAGCUUAGCUUUGCUGCUAUAUGUGGCAUGCUAACUGAAAAGGAUAUUACAUUUUAAAAAAAUGAAUUUGAUAGCUAAUAAAAGUUUUGAAUAUAAAAUCUAUAACUUGAUGUUUCAGUAUUAUUAAGAUACAUUUUAUAUGUAAAUUUCAAGUGCAAUGUAUGAUUGUGAAGCUGAUGUUGGAUAUGCAUGGUUACCUCCCUUGAUACAAAAAAACCCCCAACGAGGAUAAAAAAAAAAAAUCGAAAGCAAUUCGGUUUUGGCUUAUCCUGUCAUUUAUAUUUACUUACAUAAUUGAUCUAAUAUUAAAUUUUAGAAAUUGUUCUUUUUUUUUUAUGUGCCUGCAACUAUUUCAUAACUUUUUUUUUUUUUUUUAACUUUCACUGUUAGGCUUUGAGAGAAUUAUUUUGUUGACAAGAUCUAGGACUACAUCCCAUUCUAGAAGAAAUUUUUAUGUCACCUGAUAGCUGAUAAUGUUAAUAUAUUGGCAGAUAUUACUCGUCUCAAACCUCCAUUCUUUUUGCCAUCAUUAUGUAACAAUAUAUUUGAUUGUGUUUUAGUUUUAUUUAUAUUUUUUUUUUUUGGUUUCAUAUAGCUGCUUCAUUUCAGUUCCUAUCACCAUAUUUAUACAUCUUCAUAGAAUGAACCCAAAACUUACAAAAACAUUAAUUUAAUGAAAGCAUAAUUGUUUUUCUAUUUCAUUUCCAUUCAUUUGUUUUAUCAUUGUGUAAUACUGACUUAACUACAUAAUUUGUUAAGCAUUAUACCCCACCCACCUCUACUUAAUCAACUGCUUGCAUAAACUUCUAGAGUUGAGAGAAUUUAUUUUUUUUACUUAAAAAUAUUUUUUUUCAGAUAUAUAUAUAUAUAUAUAUAAAUAUCUUUGAAUGCUUAGUUUCAUCUAUUUCUAAUUUUAUGCUGAGAGACAAUCCACAUAUGGUCACCGCUAUUAUUGCUACUAAAGACCACCACUGCCCUCAUUUGCUCGUCUAAUUUCUCUGCACAUCUAUUUUUUCAUUUAUAACUCAGACUGAAUGAAGUACUGUGCUGUAGAAUUUGCAUUAGAUAGAAAUAAAACAAAUAUCUAUUAAAGUAUAUGUUGAGAGCAGGUCAGUUGGGUGCCAUGAGGCAGAUGUUGUAUGGUACUGUUGUAUGGCAGAUGUAUGGUACUAGUUGUUUCAGUCUGCACAGUUCCUCCAAAGGAACUCUUUGCCACCAGUUGUCUGUGGUAGCAGGAAUGUUAUUAGGGCAGUUUUGACCUUAAUAUAAUGCAUUUCAAAUAAUGUUUAGUAAGGUCUUAAAACUUAAUCCAUUUUUGAUUUGUAACAGUGCAUAUUAAUUGUGCGUUUAGUCAUAUAUAAAUUUUAGUGAAUAAUGAAGAUUUUGUUUCCUGUUGAUGAAAUGCAUAUUUUCAGAGAAAAUAUCUAUUUGAUAGAACUAAUUCAGUUGUCUUUAGAUAAACGAAGCUGUUACGAUUUGAAGCAACAAACUUUGUUGUGUAACUUUCUACAAUAGGUACAAGACCAGCAAUUUUGAGUAAAGGUGUUAAGUUGAUACUUUGAUCUCAGAACUCGACUGGUGUUCUAUUUUAUUGAUGACGACGCCCCCCACCUCUUCUUCCCCUGGAGUGAUGAAAGGCAAAGUUGACCUUUGCAAGGUUUGAAACCAAAGCAUAAAGAACUAGAAACUAUUCUAUAUAAUGCAGACAGUAGCGUCCUAAGAAAGCUCAUAGAGAUUUGUAGAUUAUACAUAUAUAAUCUGAUAUUUCAGUCAUAUCAAGCUUUGUGGGUUAUCACAUGGGUCUUUGUUUUAUAAAUAAUAUAUUUUUUUUUAUAAUUGGCAGAAGGCCAGUGAUUUUUAGGGGGAAAAGUGGGUUAGUCAAUCACAUUGACCUCCCCAGUACUUGUACUUUAUUUUAUCAGUUCCAGAAAAGAUUAAAAGCAAAGUUAAACUCAGUGUAUCCGCCAAAACGCUAGGCAGCAUUUCUUCCGGUUCUUUAUGUUGUAACGAUUCUGCCAGUUCACCACCACUAUGACAACAAUAAUAAUAAUGAUAAUGAUAAUUUUAUUUUUAAACUUGAGAACUUUGUAAGAUUCUCUCUAACUAGACAUAUCAUUUAAUGUGUUGAAUUCAGCAACAGCUGUGUUCUUUGUAAGCAUGGGUUUUAUGUUAGCCCAACAGUUUUGCAAAAGAGUACCAUAGUCAUUAAGUAGAAGUCAGUGUUGUUAGCCAAUGAAACAUUUGCUAAUUGUUUGACUGAGUAGUAAGGCUAACUUCAGCAUUACAAUAACAAUAUUGCUAAACACCUGAGUAAUUAAUUAGCUAUUAUUUAUGGACAAUUUUCUAUAUUUUAUUACUAGUCCCUAUGUUUUUUUUUAAUUAUACCGUUUUAUUUUUAUCUAGAACAUUCCAUUCUAAUAUAUUCCACUAUUGUACAGCUAUUUUAAUGAAGCUUUACAAUUAAUUCUAGAAUGUUUUAUAUUUACAUUAGAAAGAUUAUCUUACAAGGAAACAACUCAAAGGUAACAAAAAAGAAAAAAAAAAUAAUUGUAAUUAUAUCUUGAAUUAUUAUUUUCUAUAUGUAUUGAGAAUUUCUUUUUUUGAGAUUUAAUAAAGAACAUGAUGCCUAAGGAAAAAUAAUAAAAAAAAUAAUAAAAAAUUAUAAAACUUGGUUUUACACUAACUUGAUACUUAUUGUAUCAUUAAAUAAAAGAGAAAGCAAAACUAUGAAUUAUACAGAGAUUUGUAAACCUGUUGGAUUAUUGGGGCACCACUGCUGGUCUAAUCUUGUAUUGAGAAAAUAUACCUGUCUAUUUUACAAUAUUUUUACCUUGUGGUUAUUAUUUACAGCUAAGUAAACUGGGACCAGGCCACUUGAAAAUAAGGUGUUUUGGCCAUGAACUGCUAGCCUUAGUAAUUGGUAGUCUUGUAGCAGUUUCAGCCAGCUAUAAUCUUGAAAGUAUUUAAGCUGGGCAGAGAGAGGGGUGGGGUGGUCACAGCAUUAAUGAAUAUUUUACGAAUUUAGACGGUUAAAACUGUUUAGAUAUUAAAGGCAUGUGAAAGGGUUUAUUUUGCUAAUUACUCAACAAAUUGAAACAAAAUUUCAUUCGUCCCUCAAAUUAAUAUUUCUCUAUAAACCAGGCUCGAAGCUUGCUGCCUCCUUUUAAAAGGAAUUGGGAAGUUGUUGCAUUUGAUAUUCCUCACAAGUAUUUACUAGCAUCAUAGAAGAAGUAACUCCAAACAGGAGUUGAAGCUGGUUUUGUCUUUGAUGGCCAUGAGCUUUACUCUUCACUUUCCUGAGUAGGAUGUGAGCUUCUGUGUAGCUGUCCAACUUGAUGGAAAUAACCACCAAAUUCCUUGUUCAAAUCAUUCUAUACUGUAUCAUAUUGAAAACAGGAAGGACAAAAUUGAAUAAUGUAGUCCCAAAUAGUAUCUGAAAAUGAGAUGGGAUGGUCAUGGUUGGACCAUAGUUGAUGGGUUGAACAACUGAAUUUGAUUUUGAUGUUGCAGAUUCUUCAACCCUUUAGCGUUUAAACUGACCGUAUCCAACCAAAAUAUUCUAUCCGUUUUAUGGUCAAACUGGCCAGAUCAAGCUGCUCGCAGUUACCCUACAAAGUCAUUUUAAAAGUAAACAAUCAUAUCAUUGAAAUCUCAAAGCUAUGAGAUAAUGCAUGAUUAAUUCAAAGCAAUAUGAAUAAAUAAGUAUUACAUUUGACAGAACAACCUGAAUGCUAAACAAUUAAGCAACAGCCACAAAUCUGAUGGGUGAUAGUGUCUAACUUGUUUAGUGUUUAGCACUAUGAAACUUGAGUUCUUGUCUCUUCACUCACUCAUCCUAGUUAUGCUUUUGACAUCACUAUGUUGCUAACCACCCUCCUGGUCAUGUCUUGAGUAAAUAUACCAAAGACUUAGUGAGUCUUACAGAGCAGAAAACAAUUCUCACAACAAAUGCUUGUGCCAUGAUAAAAAGAAGAAGCAUCUAGUACACUCUGUAAAUGUGUUGAUGAACGAGUUUGAGAUGAUGCAGAGUCAAGAGGACUCUUUGGUCUUAUUUGGGGACGUCCCAACUUCAACACUGCUGGUACAGUAAUAAAAUGCAUUCAGUACAUUCUGCAAAGUGGUUGAUGCUUAGAAAGGCGUCCAGCUGUAGAAACCAUGCCAAAAAAUUAAACAUACAAUAGAGACAUGAAUCUCUGACCUGUGACAACACCCAACCAAUCCACGCCAACAUGGAAAAUAAAUGUAAAAUGAUAAUUGAAAAAUGAGUGUUAUUUUCACACAAGUCUGCCAUUUGACCUGCCCAUUUUGGAUGUCUAAAACAGGCUGAAUUACUAUGUAUUAUAAAUGAAAGAGGGAAAAAAGAAAAAAGAAAAAAAAAAAAAUGUAAAUUGUGUUUUUAUUCAUUUCAUACCUGAGCAUGAAUUAAAUCUUUUUUCACGUCACACUCAA